rnacentral:misc_RNA from 1 species
UCCUGGUUUCCCAGGCAGUCCCACCAGAGUGCUCUAUCCGAAGAUAGGUGGCAACUGGCGGCAAGGGCUGCGCUCGUUAAAGGACUUAACCCAACAUCUCACGACACGAGCUGACGACGGCCAUGCAACACCUGUAUACCUGCUCAGACCGAAGCCUGAGACACUGUAUCUCUACAGUUAUCAGGUACAUGUCAAGCCUAGGUAAGGUUCCUCGCGUAACGUCGAAUUAAACCACAUGUUCCACCGCUUGUGCGGACCCCCGUCAAUUCCUUUGAGUUUUAACCUUGCGGUCGUACUCCCCAGGCGGAUCACUUAACGCGUUAGCUACGACACUGAGUCAGCUAGGCCAACCCAACGUCUAGUGAUCAUCGUUUACAGCGUGGACUAC